UACGGGGGGGGCAAGCGUUGUUCGGAAUUACUGGGCGUAAAGGGCGCGCAGGCGGUUCUGUUUGUCGAGUGUGAAAGCCCCGGGCUCAACCUGGGAACUGCGCUCGAAACGGCAGAACUAGAGUUCGGGAGAGGAGAGUGGAAUUCCCAGUGUAGAGGUGAAAUUCGUAGAUAUUGGGAAGAACACCGGUGGCGAAGGCGGCUCUCUGGACCGAUACUGACGCUGAGGCGCGAAAGCGUGGGGAGCAAACAGG
rnacentral:rRNA from 1 species